rnacentral:sRNA from 1 species
AGUCAUCGAUGGCAUCGAUGGGGGAAGAUCUCUUCUAUAUAUACAUGUGAUGUGUGUAUAGCUGAGUCUGUCUCCCUCUGCCAGACGAUAUACACGGUCAUCGUGUUGGCCGCCCUGAGAUGUAUUCAGAUCCAUAGGACAUCUCUUUCAGAGACGUUCUAUAUAACAUCUCUCUGGGUACCCAUCUCAUAGGGCUUUCUCGUUGGCAAUAAUAGGUUGGUUGUCCGAGUUGUUAGUAAGGAGAACCGCCUCUAUAUGUCGACAAGCCCUUGAACUUAUGGUGGGGAUACGCUAAAUAAAGAGCCUUCUCUUCAUCAAGGAUGUGGGUCGUGUGCGUGGGUCUGUUCCCUGGGCUACCCGAACGAAAUAAGUAUCGAUACGCGAUCUGAGAAAGAAAUUGGGUGCACCUAUUAUACAACACGCGGUUGUAUGAGUAUCCGUCUGUCCAUGUGGACAACUCUCAACAACGGAUAUCUUGGCUCUCAGAUCGAUGAAGAACGCAGCGAAAUGCGAUAUGUAGUGUGAAUUGCAGAAAUACGUGAAUCAUCAAAUUUUUGAACGCAAAUUGCGCUUGAGGCUUCGGCCAAGAGCAUGUCUGCCUCAGCGUCGGGUUGUCCUUCACGCAACGGAAGAAGAGCUCAAAGCUGCUUUGCUGUCCGUCACGUGGAUAUGGCUAUCCCAGCCCCGUAGCCCCUUCGGAUGUAAGAGGGGGUGCACAGCUGGGUUUGCUAAAAUGAUGAUGUUGGACUCUGUGGACCGCUUAACGAGUCUCUACUAGGUAGUGCAGGCAAGACAUAUAUACUCUAUAUAUGAUAUGCCUAUGCUCUAUCUGAAUAGUGGAUGCUUGGGCCCACUGUGUUUGGCACACAAAAGGCAGGAGAGGUGUUGUGUAUGAUAUGAUGAUCGAUAUGGUAAGAUAGUGUCUUACCUAUAUAUAUGAUCUAAUAUCGGUACACGACGCCUUCACCCACAAAAGAAGAUACACUCCUCGACCUGAGCUCAGGCAAGA